AAUAAGUCCAUUAAAACGCUCCAAUUAAUUCAGAACGCUGCAGCACGAGUACUGACAGGAACUAGAAAAAGAGAUCACAUCUCUCCUGUACUAGCUACUCUGCACUGGCUCCCUGUAAAAUGUAGAAUUGAAUUUAAAAUCCUCCUCCUCACCUAUAAAGCUCUUCAUGGUCAGGCCCCUUCAUAUCUUAAAGAGCUCAUAGUACCCUAUUACCCCUCUAGAACACUACGUUCUCUGAAUGCUGGGCUACUUGUGGUUCCUAUAGUCUCUAAAAGUAGAACAGGAGCCAGAGCCUUCAGUUACCAAGCUCCUCUCCUGUGGAACCAGCUUCCAGUUGUGGUUCGGGAGGCAGACACCCUCUCCACAUUCAAGAGUAGGCUUAUGACAUUCCUCUUUGAUAAAGCUUAUAGUUAGGGCUGGAUCAGGUGAGUCCUGAACCAUCCCUUAGUUAUGCUGCUAUAGGCCUAGACUAUCGGGGGAUUUCCCAUGGUGCACUGAGCUCCUCCCUUCCUCUCUCUUUCUGCACUCAUUCAUGUCCCAUUAAUGCAUGUUACUAACUCCACUUCUUCCCCGGAGUUCUUGUGCUUUCUCGUCUCGCAGGUUCUCAUGGAUCCUGGUGGAGCCUCCUGCCAUGGUCCUGCUUGACUGCCAUUGCCAAUACUGUUGUUGCUGUGCACCUGUCUGUCUGUCUGUCUCUCGCUCUCUCUCUCUCUGCCUCUCUCUCUCGCUCUCUCUCUCUCUGCCUCUCUCUCUCUGCCUCUCUCUCUCUCUCUCUCUCUCUCUCUCUCUCUCUCUCUCUCUCUCACCCCAACUGGUCGAGACAGACGACCACCCACCUAGAGCCGAAGGAUCUGUCCUAGGUUUCUGCCUUUUAACAGGCAGUUUUUCCUUGCCCUUGUCGCCAAGUGCUUGCUCAUGGUGGUACUGUUGGGUCUCUGUAAUUAAUGUUAAAGAGUUCGGUCUAGACCUGCUCUAUUUGAAAAGUGUCCUGAGAUAACUUCUGUUAUGAUUUGGCGCUAUACAAAUAAAAUUGAAUUGAAUUGAA